rnacentral:rRNA from 1 species
GAUGAACGCUGGCGGCGUGCCUAAUACAUGCAAGUCGAGCGAACGGACGAGGAGCUUGCUUCUCUGAUGUUAGCGGCGGGCGGGUGAGUAACACGUGGAUAACCUACCUAUGAGACUGGGAUAACUUCGGGAAACCGUAGCUAAUACCGGAUAAUAUUUUGAACCGCAUGGUUCAAAAGUGAACGACGGUCUUGCUGUCACUUAUAGAUGGAUCCGCGCUGCAUUAGCUAGUUGGUAAGGUAACGGCUUACCAAGGCAACGAUGCAUAGCCGACCUGAGAGGGUGAUCGGCCACACUGGACCUGAGACACGGUCCGGACUCCUACGGGAGGAAGCAGUAGGAAAUCUUCCGCAAUGGGCGAAAGCCUGACGGAGCAACGCCGCGUGAGUGAUGAAGGUCUUCGGAUCGUAAAACUCUGUUAUUAGGGAAGAACAUAUGUGUAAGUAACUGUGCACAUCUUGACGGUACCUAAUCAGAAAGCCACGGCUAACUACGU